rnacentral:tRNA from 1 species
UGAACUAUUUUUUCUGUUUUGAAAACAGAUUUUAGAUUUUUUUUCUGUAGUUUAUA